GAUGAACGCUGGCAGAGUGCCUAAUACAUGCAAGUCUAGCUAACGUUCGGGAAGCUUGCUUUUCUGAUGUUAACGGCGGACGGAUGAGUAACACGUGGAUAACCUACCUAUAGGACUGGGAUAACUUCGCGAAACCUGAGCUAAUACCGGAUAAUAUUUUGAACCACAUGGUUCAACAGUGAAAGACGGUUUUGCUGUCACUUAUAGAUGGAUCCGCGCUGCAUUAGCUAGUUGGUAAGGUAACGGCUUACCAAGGCAACGAUGCAUAGCCGACCUGAGAGGGUGAUCGGCCACACUGGAACUGAGACACGGUCCAGACUCCUACGGGAGGCAGCAGUAGGGAAUCUUCCGCAAUGGGCGAAAGCCUGACGGAGCAACGCCGCGUGAGUGAUGAAGGUCUUCGGAUCGUAAAACUCUGUUAUUAGGGAAGAACAUAUGUGUAAGUAACUGUGCACAUCUUGACGGUACCUAAUCAGAAAGCCACAGCUAACUACGUG
rnacentral:rRNA from 1 species